UAUGGCCACAUCGUGUUGGAACACCGGUUCCCGUACAAUUACCAAAGUUAAGUAAUAUUGGGCGUGGUCAGUACUAGGAUUGGUACCCACUUAGGAAUACCAGGUGCUGUAAG